GCGGGAGUAGCUCAGGGGUAGAGCAUCUGCUUCCCAAGCAGAGGGUCGUGGGUUCGAAUCCCAUCUCCCGCUCCA
rnacentral:tRNA from 2 species